rnacentral:rRNA from 1 species
UACGGGGGGGGCAAGCGUUGUUCGGAAUUACUGGGCGUAAAGCGUGCGCAGGCGGUUUUGUAAGCCAGAUGUGAAAGCCCCGGGCUCAACCUGGGAAUGGCAUUUGGGACUGCAAGGCUGGAGUUUGGCAGAGGAGACUGGAAUUCCUGGUGUAGCAGUGAAAUGCGUAGAUAUCAGGAGGAAUACCGAUGGCGAAGGCAGGUCUCUGGGCUAUAACUGACGCUCAUGCACGAAAGGCGUGGGGAGCAA